AGCUCCAAUAGCGUAUAUUAAAGUUGUUGCAGUUAAAAAAGCUCGUAGUCGAAGUUCUGGCUGGCGCUGUUGUCGGCUUCGGUCGCUUCAGCGCCUAGCCAUCCGCCGGAGAACCCAUGUCGGCCUUCACUGGUCGCUUGGGGGAACCGGCCCUUUACUUUGAAAAAAUUAGAGUGCUUCAGGCAGGCUAUCGCCCGAAUACUCCAGCAUGGAAUAAUGGAAUAGGACUUUGUUCUAUUUGUUGGUUAUUAGAAUAAAGUAAUGAUUAAUAGGGACAGUUGGGGGCAUUCGUACUUAAUUGUCAGAGGUGAAAUUCUUGGAUUUAUUAAAGACGAACUAAUGCGAAAGCAUUUGCCAAGGAUGUUUUCA
rnacentral:rRNA from 1 species